AGUCAUGGGGAUAGAAUGAUAAAUGGAAUGUCCAGCAGUCAAUAAGAUGGGAAGCAGUGACUACUUUUAGGAUGGCUGUGUUUCAAUCUAACAAUUGUCAUAAAGGAAAAAAGAGAAAAGGGACCAUUUUGAAUGGGUGACAACCAGGGAUCUAUAGAAAACGAGAAUGAUUAUAAGGAAGCAAUGGAAAGCAAAACAGGAAUUAUUCAGGUGCUCCUGUCCAACAACUUGGGUCAAUGUAUCAACCAUCUGAGCUCAUCAGCUUAUCCCAAAGGCCUUGGAAGGAAGUCUUGUAUCAGAGAUGAAAUUCCUAAAUGUAUGGGCCUUCCAGUUACCAAUCCAAUACAACCGAUAAGAAGACCACCACGUGACGACAGAGGCAGAGAUUGGAGGAAUUCAUCGACAAGCCAAGGAAUGCCAGGGAUUGCUGGCAAACACCAGAAUCUAGGAAGAUGCAAGAAAAGGACUUUCUUCUAUAGGUUUCAGAGGGACUAUGAUCCUGCCAACACCUUGAUAUCAGAUUUCUAGGCUUUAAGAGUAAGAUAAUAAGUUUCCAGUGUUCCAAGCCACCCAUUUGCGGUACUUUGCUGUGGCAGCCCCACAAAACUAAAUACAGAUCCCAGAGGAAGGAGGUUAUUGAAGAGCAUUCCUUAGGAUCCAGAAGACCUGCUUAGGUAUGAGAUCUCUGAAGAAAGAGUCUCUUACUAAGGACUUCAUCAAUUCCUAACAAGGUGUCAUAAAUCAGAAAAGCUUGGCACCCGCUCUCUGCAAUAUCCAAUACACAACACAGCAAUUCAAUAUGUUAUUUGCCUGUAGUAAACUUUACCCAAAGAAAUAUAAGAACUGAAGUGAGGAAGGAAGGAAGAGAAACAGGAGGAAGAGGAAAAAUAGUAAAGGGGAAUCAAUAUGACCCCACCAAUUUUGGUUCUGAAUUAAAGGUACAUUUCUAUGAAAAAAUAAUAGGACAAAAUAUUCAAAACAGAUACUUCUGGGCAAUCAGAAAUGUAUCGUCGCCAAACCAGUGAAGGACCGCUGCUAAAAGUCUGUCCAUCAUUAGCUGGCUUGUCCCUAGUCUGACACCACCGCAGGACAGCUUACGAAAGAAAGAUACAGCUAAUCAGGCCAUACUACUACUCUCAUUAGCUUCCACUUCAGACAGCUCUGAGACCACCGUUUGAGAAGAACAAGCCAUCACGUCAAAGCCCUUUGACAAUGUUCGUGCUUUAAUUUGUCUAU